rnacentral:rRNA from 1 species
GAUGAACGCUGGCGGCGUGCCUAAUACAUGCAAGUCGAGCGAACGGACGAGAAGCUUGCUUCUCUGAUGUUAGCGGCGGACGGGUGAGUAACACGUGGAUAACCUACCUAUAAGACUGGGAUAACUUCGGGAAACCGGAGCUAAUACCGGAUAAUAUUUUGAACCGCAUGGUUCAAAAGUGAAAGACGGUCUUGCUGUCACUUAUAGAUGGAUCCGCGCUGCAUUAGCUAGUUGGUAAGGUAACGGCUUACCAAGGCAACGAUGCAUAGCCGACCUGAGAGGUUGAUCGGCCACACUGGAACGGGGAAACGGUCCAGACUCCUACGGAAGGCAGCAGAGGGGAAUCUUCCGCAAUGGGCGAAAGCCGAACGAGGCAACGCCGCGGGGGUGAUGAGGGUCUUCGGAUCGUAAAACUCUGUUAUUAGGAAAGAACAAAUUUUUAGGUAACAGGGCACAUCUGGACGGUACCUAAUCAGAAAGCCACGGCUAACUACGG